CACUGUAGUGGUGGAGGCUCCCACUGUACAGUGGUAGAGGACCUCCCACUGUAGUGGUGGAGGGGCGCCCGCCGGAGGUACGAAACUCUCCUGUCUUACAGUGGAAUCUCUGAGUACAAAGCAAAUAAGUCAAAACUUUCAACAACGGAUCUCUUGGUUCUGGCAUCGAUGAAGAACGCAGCGAAAUGCGAUAAGUAAUGUGAAUUGCAGAAUUCAGUGAAUCAUCGAAUCUUUGAACGCACAUUGCGCCCGGCAGUACUCUGCCGGGCAUGCCUGUUCGAGCGUCAUUUCAACCCUCAAGCCCGGCUUGGUGUUGGGGCCCUACGGCUGCCGUAGGCCCUGAAAGGAAGUGGCGGGCUCGCUGCAACUCCGAGCGUAGUAACUCACUGUCUCGCUAGGGAGGUUGCGGCGGCGCUCCGGCCGUUAAAGAACCCAUCUUUAACCAAGGUUGACCUCGGAUCA
rnacentral:sRNA from 1 species